GAUGAACGCUAGCGGCAGGCCUAACACAUGCAAGUCGAGGGAGAAGCCCUUUCGGGGGCCGAAACCGGCGCACGGGUGCGUAACGCGUAUGCAACCUACCUUUCACAGGGGGAUAGCCCGAAGAAAUUUGGAUUAAUACCCCAUAAUAUUAUUGGAUGGCAUCAUUUGAUAAUUAAAACUGCGGUGGUGAAAGAUGGGCAUGCGUCCUAUUAGCUAGUUGGAGUGGUAACGGCACCCCAAGGCUACGAUAGGUAGGGGUCCUGAGAGGGAGAUCCCCCACACUGGUACUGAGACAGGGACCAGACUCCUACGGGAGGCAGCAGUGAGGAAGAUUGGUCAAUGGUCGGAAGACUGAACCAGCCAUGCCGCGUGCAGGAAGAAUGCCUUAUGGGUUGUAAACUGCUUUUAGAUGGGAAGAAUAAGGCGUACGUGUACGUUGAUGACGGUACCAGAUGAAUAAGCAUCGGCUAACUCCGUG
rnacentral:rRNA from 1 species